rnacentral:lncRNA from 1 species
GUGACUACUAUAGCCCAAGCACAUCUUACAAAGUGUGGGGAAAUUAAGGGCAGUUGGUGCAGCUGGCUUUGUGGCUGUUGAAGCUAGGAAUAAAUAACUAGCGGGAUCCUUCACUGCAUACUGCACAGUCACUCUCAUCCAUUGUUUUAUUUUAGGUCCUGUUGACGGGACUCGGGACCUUGCACUUGUGAGGCAGACAGUGGAAUCACUGAACUAAAUCCCCGGCCCUCUUGUCCAUUGUUUUAUGGCCAUUUGGGCACAAUGCCUGGCACUUAGUGGGUGUUCAAUCACAAUUUGAUGAAUAAAUCAUUGGGAUUCUAUGAAAUGAAGCCCUGCGAGUAUGUUUUAAAGCUGGAGUUGGCCAAUUGUAACUGGAACCAUGGAAAGUGACUACAGAAAGAGUCGACUGUGCAUGUCCGAUUCCAGCUAGAGCCUAUGGAGAGCUAGAAGGAGGCCGGCAAAUGUAAUAGUCAUUGAAUGCAAUUCACCUAUCUGCCUGAACCAGUCUUGCUUUGAAGAACACAUUGUGUUUCUGGAAAGAAAGUCGAGGUUGACAUGAACCCUUUCAAUUAUGUUCCAAGCGUCGAAUCUUAUCUUGAAGAUUCUUCAGAGCAGAAAAUGUGGCGAGAACUGAGACUCAGAAGCCACCGACCCCGAGAUGCCGCUGCCAUCUUUCUGGUCUCACUGCCCAGGUUUCCGCUGACUGGACUCGCUCUGAGUUCCUGAGCUCUUCUUCAAGAUUUUGGAGCCGCCCACAGUAAGAGGAACCCCAGAUGGAAGGGAAGGGGCCCUGCUGCCAGGUAACUAUACCCCCCACAUCCCCACGGGGAUGCCCAAGCUCAGAGAGCUCUCGGAAUGGGCAACACGUCCCAACCGACGUCUUUUGUAACCAAUCAGAAAAGCAUUGAUGUCUAUCCUUAAGGUGAGUUUUUAAUAUUACAAGUAAUGCUGCCACGAAUAAUCAUUUAACAUAUAUCCUUGUCUCAUUAUGUAAGUGUUCUGAGCCAAAGGGUACGUAUGUUUUACAUUUUGACAGCACAUUUUGUGUUUUGAUAGGUGGACCCAAAUUACCGCUCAAAAAAUUGCGGCACUUAACGUUCUUACUCAAACUAUCUGGAAGUGUUCUUUUCCACCAAACAUUUGCCUACAUUAACUAUUGUUUAGAUAAGCUAAUCAGAUGUAUUCUGAUAUAAUCCGUGAAAAAUUAUCUCAUUGCUAUUUUAAUUUGCAUUUCCCAG